rnacentral:rRNA from 1 species
AGCGAACGCUGGCGGCAGGCCUAACACAUGCAAGUCGAACGAACUCUUCGGAGUUAGUGGCGGACGGGUGAGUAACACGUGGGAACGUGCCUUUUGGUUCGGAAUAACUCAGGGAAACUUGUGCUAAUACCGAAUGUGCCCUUCGGGGGAAAGAUUUAUCGCCAUUAGAGCGGCCCUCGUCUGAUUAGCUAGUUGGUGAGGUAACGGCUCACCAAGGCGACGAUCAGUAGCUGGUCUGAGAGGAGGACCAGCCACACUGGGACUGAGACACGGCCCAGACUCCUACGGGAGGCAGCAGUGGGGAAUCUUGCGCAAUGGGCGAAAGCCUGACGCAGCCAUGCCGCGUGAAUGAUGAAGGUCUUAGGAUUGUAAAAUUCUUUCACCGGGGACGAUAAUGACGGUACCCGGAGAAGAAGCCCCGGCUAACUUCGUG